UUCUAUACUGUAUACAUACGUAAAAGGUGGGGAUGAGGCCUUAAAAAAAGUUUUCUAAUUUUUGUCAUCUUUUGGUAUCCGAUGCUUCUCAUAAUUCUAUGUUUGCUAUUUUUUUUUUUUUUGUAUAAUAAGUUUGCUAUCAUAUUUUAAUAAAUUAUCAUUCAAACUUCAAUAUUACAGGUUUUUUUUUUUAUUAUUUUUCUUCUUUGUGUUGAAGUAUGAGUCCUCAGAAUUUUACUCGGAAUUUUUUGUCUACAUCAAACUCACUUCCACUUCCAGGUAAAAAACAAAUCUUAAAU
rnacentral:lncRNA from 1 species